rnacentral:rRNA from 1 species
GGGCUCACACAAGCGGUGGAGGAUGUGGCUUAAUUCGAGGCUACGCGAAGAACCUUACCUAGACUUAACAUGUUUGAGAAUCUCUGUGAAAGCAGAGAGUGCCUUUCGGGGAACUCUUACGUAGGUGCUGCAUGGCUGUCGUCAGCUCGUGUCGUGAGAUGUCGGGUUAAGUCCCUUAACGAGCGAAACCCUUAUCUUCAGUUGCCAGCGAGUAAUGUCGGGGACUCUAAGGAGACUGCCGGUGAUAAACCGGAGGAAGGUGGGGACGAUGUCAAGUCAUCAUGGCCCUUACGGGUAGGGCUACACACGUGCUACAAUGGCUGGGACAAAAGGAUGCGAAACGGCAACGUUGAGCCAAUCCCUUAAACCUAGUCUUAGUCCGGAUUGGGGUCUGCAACUCGACCCCAUGAAGCUGGAAUCGCUAGUAA